rnacentral:piRNA from 1 species
UUUCAUCACAGAGUCCCAUUU